CUCUGACUGAUACAGUUCUCCAGGUGUGGACUGUCUGCAAAUCUUCACCCUCUGGGGGACCAGUACUGUGGCCCAGAACCUCUGAAAAGCUGCCUGGCCUACUCUAAACAGGUCUAUGAUUCUCAAAGCCUGGAAUAAUACUAGUUUUCUAUAAAGAAGGCUUAAAUGAUAAAUAACAAAUACAUGGCCACUUGCAGGGGGAGAAGCUAGCUGCCAUGUUGUGAGGAGCGGAGGCACCUGUCCAACAUCCAUUGAGGAACUUAGGCUUCCUGCCAGCUGCUGUGUGAGUCUGGAAGCAUAUCUUCCUGCCCUAGCCAAGUCUUCAGAAGACUGCAGACCCAGCCAACAUCUGGACUAUAACAUCAUGAGAGACCCUGAACCAGAGCCCUCCAGCUAAGCUGCUUCCAAGCUCUUGAUCUACCAGAAGUGUGAGGUGGAUCAAUAAACAAUAAAAUGUUUGCUGUUUA